UAAUUUUCCAUGAUCAUUAGAAAUAAAAGGUUAUUGUAGUCAUUUUCAAAACUUCCUUCCCAGUUUUUUUUUUAACACCUCAUUCUGUACUUCUGGGGCAGUUAAAAACUAUUUUGUAUUUAAUAGCAGACUCUCAGCUUGUGAGUAAGUGCACAAUAGUAUUGUUUCUCAUUUCCCAUAGGAAUUUUGUAGACCAAUUAAAAUAUCAAUGCAAAAAGGUCAAAAAUUGUUUUCAGAAAGCUGUUAUUCAGCAGUUACCGCAGUGCAUUUUCUACAUUAUGUUGUAGAGAUUAAAAGAUCAUCUGGCACAGAGUAUUUCGGUAUUGACUAUGUUUGUAUGUGUCAGGCUCUGGUUCUUUGAGAGCAAAGUUUGAGCUGUCUGAUGGUCCAUCCAUCCCUGCCACCCUGGCUGUUCAGUUCUUCAGUGAAGGCAGCACUCUGUCUGGUGUAGAUGUGGAACUGGUUGGCUCCGGUUACCGACUCUCCCUCAAUAAGAAGAGAUUUGCCACUGGGCGCUAUAUGGCUGACUGCUGAGAUCUGAGUAGAGGCCUGUCCGCUCUCAAAUGCAGGGAACCUGGAGGUUCAUUUCUGUUCAUUCAUUAAUUCUGUCACUGCUUCUCAAUGAAAGUUAUGGAGGAUCAUUAGGGGGGAUGGGAAAAGAGAGCUGUCUGCGUGAAGGCCUCUCAUGCUUCUGUUUUCUCUCCACAUUGUGAACGAUCCAGUUCCAGUGAAUCACCUUCUGGAGACUCGAGAUUUUUAUACUACAGUAACGUAGCACUGAGUAUCAAACACUGUGUACAAAGAAAAAAGAAAAAAAAGAAAAGAAAAAAGAAGGAAUGUCAGGAUAUUGGUGAAUGAAAUCAUUAAUCUUUGAUACUUUUUGAUCAAUUCAGACUUUUAUAAAGUCAGACUGUUAGUGUUUGUUAUUUUGAAAUGUAUAGUUAACAAUUUGCAUUAUGAAUUAGAGGUGUAUAAACAUAUAGCAUAUCUAAGCAAAAAAAAAAAAAAA